UUUUAUGGAGAGUUUGAUCCUGGCUCAGGAUGAACGCUGGCGGCGUGCCUAAUACAUGCAAGUCGAGCGAACGGAUGAGAAGCUUGCUUCUCUGAUGUUAGCGGCGGACGGGUGAGUAACACGUGGAUAACCUACCUAUAAGACUGGGAUAACUUCGGGAAACCGGAGCUAAUACCGGAUAAUAUUUUGAACCGCAUGGUUCAAAAGUGAAAGACGGUCUUGCUGUCACUUAUAGAUGGAUCCGCGCUGCAUUAGCUAGUUGGUAAGGUAACGGCUUACCAAGGCAACGAUGCAUAGCCGACCUGAGAGGGUGAUCGGCCACACUGGAACUGAGACACGGUCCAGACUCCUACGGGAGGCAGC
rnacentral:rRNA from 1 species